CCAAGGAGUCUAACAUGUGCGCGAGUCGCUCGGUCUUGAAUAGGCCAGAGAGGCGCAAUGAAAGUAAAGUUGAUUGAGUUACGAUCCUCAUGCAGUUAUCGCUCUGUCGGUAACGGUGAGGCGCAGUAACAGCCCGCUAAUUUCGCUUAUUGACGAUCUGGCGGAGUUGUAGCGUACACGUUGGUACCCGAAAGAUGGUGAACUAUGCCUGGGCAAGACGAAGCCAGAGGAAACUCUGGUGGAGGUCUGUAGCGGUUCUGACGUGCAAAUCGAUCGUCAGACCUGGGUAUAGGGGCGAAAGACUAAUCGAACCAUC
rnacentral:rRNA from 1 species